CCUACGGAAGGCAGCAGUGAGGAAUAUUGGUCAAUGGACGGAAGUCUGAACCAGCCAUGCCGCGUGCAGGAUGACGGCUCUAUGAGUUGUAAACUGCUUUUGUACGAGAAUAAUAGUUCUUACGUGUAGUGAUUUGCAUGUAUCUUACGAAUAAGGAUCGGCUAACUCCGUGCCAGCAGCCGCGGUAAUACGGAGGAUUCGAGCGUUAUCCGGAUUUAUUGGGUUUAAAGGGUGCGUAGGCUGUCGGAUAAGUUAGAUGUCAAAGGUCGGGGCUUAACCCCGUGCCUGCCUCUGAUACUGUUCGACUAGAGAGCGGAUGAAGCAGGCGGAAUGAGUAGUGUAGCGGUGAAAUGCUUAGAUAUUACUCAGAACACCGAUUGCGAAGGCAGCUUGCUAAUCCGCAUCUGACGCUGAUGCACGAAAGCGUGGGUAGCGAACAGGAUUAGAUACCCCUGUAGUC
rnacentral:rRNA from 1 species